rnacentral:rRNA from 1 species
UACGGGGGGGGCAAGCGUUGUUCGGAAUUACUGGGCGUAAAGGGCGCGUAGGCGGCCUGCUAAGUCGGAUGUGAAAUCCCUCGGCUCAACCGAGGAACUGCAUCCGAUACUGGCGGGCUUGAAUCCGGGAGAGGGAUGUGGAAUUCCAGGUGUAGCGGUGAAAUGCGUAGAUAUCUGGAGGAACACCGGUGGCGAAGGCGGCGUUCUGGACUGUUACUGACACUGAGGAACGAAAGCCAGGGGAGCAAACGGG